GAUUGUUGUAACAAGAAUUUUUGUAAGUCUAUCAAGAGGUAAUUAGCUUCAACCUUUUGCAUGAUCUGCGGAGUGUGGUCUUAUGCAAGUUUUUCUAUACGCAUUGAUGUCUUCAUGUUGUGAUUUAUAAUCCAUAUAGUAUAUCCAUAUGCUACUGUCCUUACCGGCUGGCCUAAUCACUAUAUUUUUGUCAUUGGCAAGGGAAUGAUUGCGCUUUCUUUCUUGGUAAUGUUGGUGUUGCUUUGUUUUCAUAAUUGAAGCAGAUUUAUAUUGUGCAGAAAAGGUGGACUGCUAAAUGGUUUGAGGGCCAAAUACUCUUAAUCUUGAAUUAGUAAGUGCCUGUGUUGUUCUACCAAAUUUGUAAAGUUCUGUUUUAUUUUAAAACAUAUUAGGUUGAGUAGUAGCCACAAAUUUCAUCAGUAAGCAUUCUUCAUCAGCUGCCAAAGAUCAUGAAAAUAGGAAUCAU